CUAAAUGACUCUCGGCAACGGAUAUCUUGGCUCUUGCAUCGAUGAAGAACGUAGCGAAAUGCGAUACUUGGUGUGAAUUGCAGAAUCCCGUGAACCAUCGAGUCUUUGAACGCAAGUUGCGCCUGAAGCCAUCAGGUUGAAGGCACGUCUGCCUGGGCGUCACGCAU
rnacentral:rRNA from 3 species